rnacentral:rRNA from 1 species
CAGCCGCCGCGGUAAUACCGGCGGCCCGAGUGGCGGCCACUAUUAUUGGGCUUAAAGCGUCCGUAGCCGGGUUGGUUAGUCUCCCGGGAAAUCUGGCCGCUUAACGGUCAGAAUUCCGGGAGAUACUGCCAGCCUAGGGACCGGGAGAGGCCGAGGGUAUUCCCGGAGUAGGGGUGAAAUCCUAUAAUCCCGGGAGGACCACCUGUGGCGAAGGCGCUCGGCUGGAACAGGUCCGACGGUGAGGGACGAAGGCCAGGGGAGCAAACCGGAUUAGAUACCCGGGUAGUCCUGGCUGUAAACGAUGCGGACUUUGUGUCGGACAAGCUAUGAGCUUGUCCGGUGCCGGAGGGAAACCGUUAAGUCCGCCGCCUGGGGAGUACGGCCGCAAGGCUGAAACUUAAAGGAAUUGGCGGG